GACGAACGCUGGCGGCGCGCCUAACACAUGCCAGUCGAACGAGCGAGCGAGAGCUUGCUUUCUCGAGCGAGUGGCGAACGGGUGAGUAACGCGUGAGGAACCUGCCUCAAAGAGGGGGACAACAGUUGGAAACGACUGCUAAUACCGCAUAAGCCCACGACCCGGCAUCGGGUAGAGGGAAAAGGAGCAAUCCGCUUUGAGAUGGCCUCGCGUCCGAUUAGCUAGUUGGUGAGGUAACGGCCCACCAAGGCGACGAUCGGUAGACGGACUGAGAGGUUGAACGGACACAUUGGGACUGAGACACGGCCCAGACUCCUACGGGAGGCAGCAGUGGGGGAUAUUGCACAAUGGGGGAAACCCUGAUGCAGCGACGCCGCGUGGAGGAAGAAGGUCUUCGGAUUAUAAACUCCUGUUGUUGAGGAAGAUAAUGACGGUACUCAACAAGGAAGUGACGGCUAACUACGUG
rnacentral:rRNA from 1 species